rnacentral:rRNA from 1 species
UACAGGGGGUGCAAACGUUGCUCGGAAUUAUUGGGCGUAAAGCGCGCGUAGGCGGCCACUUAAGUCGGAUGUGAAAGCCCCUGGCUCAACUGGGGAAGUGCACCCGAAACUGAAUGGCUUGAGUGCGAAAGAGGGUCGCGGAAUUCCCGGUGUAGAGGUGAAAUUCGUAGAUAUCGGGAGGAACACCGGUGGCGAAGGCGGCGACCUGGGUCGACACUGACGCUGAGGCGCGAAAGCGUGGGGAGCGAACCGG